UACGAAGGGGGCUAGCGUUGUUCGGAAUCACUGGGCGUAAAGGGCGCGUAGGCGGCUUUAUAAGUCGGGGGUGAAAGCCUGUGGCUCAACCACAGAAUUGCCUUUAAGACUGCAUCGCUAGAAUUGUGGAGAGGUAAGUGGAAUUCCGAGUGUAGAGGUGAAAUUCGUAGAUAUUGGGAAGAAUACCAGUGGCGAAGGCGACUUACUGGACAACAACUGACGCUGAGGCGCGAAAGCGUGGGGAGCAAACAGG
rnacentral:rRNA from 1 species